rnacentral:rRNA from 1 species
UACGGGGGGGGCAAGCGUUGUUCGGAAUUACUGGGCGUAAAGGGCUCGUAGGCGGCCAACUAAGUCGGACGUGAAAUCCCCAGGCUCAACCUGGGAACUGCGUCCGAUACUGGAUGGCUUGAAUUCGGGAGAGGGAUGCAGAAUUCCAGGUGUAGCGGUGAAAUGCGUAGAUAUCUGGAGGAAUACCGGUGGCGAAGGCGGCAUCCUGGACCGAGAUUGACGCUGAUGAGCGAAAGCUAGGGGAGCAAACGGG